GGGGGGGGGGGGCGGCGGGGGGGGCGGGGGCAAGGGGGGGGGGAACGGCAUCGGGAGCGUGCUGUUGAGGGGCGGCGACCGGCGCACGGGGGAGUGACGCGUAUCCACCCUGCCCAUCACUUGGGGAGAACCUUGCGAAAGUAAGACUAAUACCCACUGAUAUCUCUAGAAGACCUCUGAAAGAGAUUAAAGAUUUAUCGGUGAUGGAUGGGGAUGCGUCUGAUUAGCUUGUUGGCGGGGUAACGGCCCACCACGGCAACGAUCAGUAGGGGUUCUGAGAGGAAGGUCCCCCACAUGGGAAAGGAGACACGGUCCAAACUCCUACGGGAGGCAGCAGUGAGGAAUAUUGGUCAAUGGGCGAGAGCCUGAACCAGCCAAGUAGCGUGCAGGAAGACGGCCCUAUGGGUUGUAAACUGCUUUUAUAAGGGAAUAAAGUGAGAGUCGGGACUCUUUUUGUAUGUACCUUAUGAAUAAGGACCGGCUAAUUCCGUG
rnacentral:rRNA from 1 species